GGGACCGUCGUCUAGCCAGGACUAGGAUGCCAGCCUGGGGAGAAUUCCCUAACCACCAGAUCGCUGGUGGUCGCGGGUUCAAAUCCCGCCGGUCCCA
rnacentral:tRNA from 1 species